rnacentral:rRNA from 1 species
AGCGAACGCUGGCGGCAGGCUUAACACAUGCAAGUCGAGCGCCGUAGCAAUACGGAGCGGCAGACGGGUGAGUAACACGUGGGAACGUGCCUUCUGGUUCGGAAUAACUCAGGGAAACUUGAGCUAAUACCGGAUAAGCCCUUCGGGGGAAAGAUUUAUCGCCGGAAGAUCGGCCCGCGUAAGAUUAGCUAGUUGGUGAGGUAAUGGCUCACCAAGGCUACGAUCUUUAGCUGGUCUGAGAGGAUGAUCAGCCACACUGGGACUGAGACACGGCCCAGACUCCUACGGGAGGCAGCAGUGGGGAAUAUUGGACAAUGGGCGCAAGCCUGAUCCAGCCAUGCCGCGUGAGUGAUGAAGGCCUUAGGGUUGUAAAGCUCUUUUAGCAGGGACGAUAAUGACGGUACCUGCAGAAAAAGCCCCGGCCAACUUCGUGCCAGCCGCCGCGGUAA